AGAGCAAAGGAGAACCAAGGAUGACUUGCCUGAAGAUUUUAUCCCAAGCGCGAUGAGUAAUGAGGGCGUAUAUCAGGCAAGUCAUCCUUGGCUCAUUUCUGCUCUCU
rnacentral:pre_miRNA from 1 species